CUUAUUUAUUUUCUGCCCCAGCUGUCUGGUGGUGAGUAGGAGCUCCAGAGAUGCUUGUGGCAUAGAAGAGUGGUUGUGUGCAAAGUGAGACUGUCUCCUCUCCCACAGCCUGACUACAAAACUAGGCCACAUAUGCAAACAUCUAUUAGCAAAAGCAGGCACAACAACAGGGUUUUUAUCUAGAUGGGGAGACACGGUAUGUACCCACGAAGAAAACCACCAUCAAAUGAGCUACACAGAUGUGGGACUAGAGGG